rnacentral:tRNA from 1 species
GCCUGGCUGGCUCAGUUGGAUAGAGCAUGUGACUCUUGAUCACAGGGUCAUGAAUUUGAGCCUCAUGUUGGGGG